AUACUUACCUGGCAGGGGAGACACCAUGAUCAAGAAGGUGGUUCAUCGAGGGUGAGGCUCGGCCAUUGCACUCCAGUUGUGCUGACCCCUGCGAAUUCCCCAAAUGUGGGAAUCUAAUAAAAGUGGAC
rnacentral:snRNA from 1 species